rnacentral:tRNA from 1 species
UACUAUAUGGCUGAAAUAUAAAGCAUUGGUCUCUUAAACCAAACUAUAGUUUAAUACUUGUAGUAG